rnacentral:lncRNA from 1 species
GUAACCACCCUAACCCAAUAUUCAAUUUAUAUUAAUAAAAGAAUGUUUGUUCAAAAACUACGCAACGGAUAAAAAGUUUUAAAACUCGAAGUCAAAAUGAAUUAUGAAAUAUUGGCUCAAGGUGUUACAUUCUUCAUUAAAAAAAACACUACUAAUAAAAUUGAGUAGUAAAUAUCACUUGUGCAAAAUUCCUUUUAUACAAUAUACACAUUUAAUUUAAAUAAAACAACAACAAAUAAAGACUCUAUGAACCCUUCCCCGUGUCACAAUCAGAGCAGAGCUUUCACCAUCAACGCGAACACCAACAAACAUACAACCUGAGAACCUGAACCCCCAACGGUUCAGCACAAACACAAAACAGAUGUUAGAUAACAUAAUUAUUAAAAGAGACUGAAUAUGACGCAUAACAGACACUGAAUAAAAUAAAUACAAUUGAGUAAAUUCAACUCAUACAAUCACCACAUAUACAGACAUGUAUAGAUCUACUCAGACAUAUAUCGGACAUAUAUCAAAUAUAUUCAGACAUGUAUUAGACAUAUUCAUUUAUCAUUUACUCGUCACAUUUGAGAAGUAUAAACUCUCAAACAAAGAAAUGAAAUACACAAUGUCGAGUAACAUUUAACAUUUAAGAAUGUCACGUAAUUCCUAAUGCAUUCUAAUGUCACAUAGAUAUGAUGUCACCUAGACAUAUCUAUAUGCAUGUGGUACCAAUUCAUCAUAACUUUGGAUAACUUAACCCAAGUGUUUUAGAUCAUCGUCUCUAAAACAUUUUAGAUCAUCGUCUCUAGAAUAACAGUAAACUAGAUCAUCGUCUCUAGGAUACUCAUCAAUAGACACAACUUAUGAAUGCAUGAAAUGUGCAUAUACCAAAUAUAUGGUUUUAUCUCAACUAUAACAUCAACACAAUAAGGAUAAUACAAUCCAAAUAUUCCAAAUCAUCGUCUUUAGAAUACCUUCACUCAUGAUAAAUCAUCAUUUAUCAUCAUCAAUAAAUCAACACGAUAAUUCAACAUCAUAAAUCAAUAAUAUUAUGAUUCAUCGUCAAUACAUCAUAACAUAAUCACACUAAUUUUCAAUAAGAUUUAUUCAUCAAUAAAUUUAUCAACAUAAUCAUCAUAAUAAAUCAUCAAUAAUCAACAUCAUGACUACCAUAAUCUAUCAACAACCUAAUCAUCAUCAUUAAUCAACAACAUAUUCAUUUACAAGUCGUUAAAGUCGCACAUCAUCAAGGGCUCGCCAAUUCCAAUUAACUAAGCAUACGAAAGUUAAUUUAAACUAAAGUAAUGCCAAAAUAUAAGCAAACACCAAUAACCAAGCAUCAUAUCAGAAAACAAACUCCAUAAUCAGAAUCUACACGAAAAAUUAAGCAAAAUAGGUUCCGGGUGCAUAAGUCAACAAAAAGUCAAACUGUCAAACAAAAGUAGCGUCGGUCUUAGCGUCGACGGGAUUCGACGCAACUUCUGUUCUGCAGAAAUUGCAGAAAACGUGAUUUUGCUCGGGCUUACUCAAAUAAUCACUUAAAAGUCCCGAAAUCACUUAAUAAAGCUUAGAAAAUUGAUAUCCAACUAAUACCAAACUUAUAGCUUAUUAAAAACAACUUAAAACAUCAAAAACAACUUAUUUAAUCAUGGAUUUUCAUCAUUUUGCAUAAACUCAUAAUAUUCAUCAAACACAACAAUCAACACAUAAAAGAUACAAUUUUCAUCAUGGUAAUUCAUCAAUCAAACAUAAACAAGCAUACAAUUCAUGUAUCAACACAUAAAACUUUCAAAUAAACACAUUCCCAAUUCAACCCUCCCAAAAACCCAUAUGAGAUGGUGAGAGUUUGGGCUAGAGAAAAGAAUUAUCUCCCCUCUCAUGAAUCCAUCUCAAUAAUUAUGUUACUAUCCUCUUACCUUAGAUUUCUUGAAAUCUUUGUUCUUCUCUUGAUUUUGUUCUAUGCUUCUUAGACCUUCCUUUCUCUUCUUUUCUUUUUCACGAGAACUCUUCUUCUUUUCUUGUUUAUGAAAAAAAAUGAAUUUUCUUUCUAUAUUUUUC